rnacentral:misc_RNA from 1 species
AAGUCAUAACAAGGUUUCCGUAGGUGAACCUGCGGAAGGAUCAUUAACAAUGCCCUCUGACUUCGGUCAGCUGGGUUCAAAUGAGUGCCUUCUCUUCGGAGUUGGCCAUCCUCACACACCGUGAACUGUGGCUUCGGCCAUCACAAACUGUUAGUAAUGAAUGUAAUAUCAUAACAAAAACAAAACUUUUAACAACGGAUCUCUUGGCUCUC